GGGAAGUGCAUGCAGCUCGUGCUCUGCUGACCUGUGUCUCGGUGACCCAAGGUUUCCAGCUUGCACAAGAAAUGCCUGGGGCUUGAUUGCAAAAGGCAUUUCAUUUCUAACAGGCAGGUGAAUUUGGUGUUUAACCUCCAGUGAGAUCUAACUAGCCAGCCUAAAUACUUUUACAGCCCUCGCUUGGUGCCUAUCUAUAUCUUUAGGUAGAGAGAUACGGGGGGAAAUGUGGCUUUUAAUAGCUUGUGAGUCAGAGUGAGGCAUGUCUGCACUGAGGGCGAGCAGCUGAACUGUUGCAGGGUGUGGACAGACCCAGGGACUGCUGAAGGCUCCCACGCCAUGAACCAUCCAGCCAGGACCUGGCAGGGCUCAGCCUGGGCUAAUCUGCUCUCCAGCUGGUUUUUGAGUCAUGAGCUGGUUGCAAUUAUUUUGCCUCUGUAAUUCCAUCUUCCUUGCGCUCUUCCUGGCUUCAGAGCCACUGGAGGAUGGUCACCUGUGUGGAGCUGUGCAUGAAAAUCGGAUCCCAGCUGCAGGCAAGGGAACACUGGAAGAAGACUGCAAGGAGUAGUCGUAUCACAGCUGCAGUUGUGGUUAUUAUUCAUCAUCUUGCUACAUACAGCACUCAGCUUGUGCUGAGCAGGGAGAGCUGUGAUCCCCGUUAUUAUCAAUACCCAGUGCUGUACCAGUGCCUCAGCAAAGGUGGGGUGCAGCCUGGUCCUGACACUUCUUUGCAACUGCCUCCGGAGCCAGUCCCGCUUUGUACUGCUGUGCGUCCUUAGAAAAUAGGCUGCCAGGUGCUGAACACCCACAGUUUGGAGUGAUCACUCAUGGAUGUAUGUCUCUGAUGGUCUCAGAGAGUGUGGGCUGAACUCCAUCCUCUUUCAUCUGGGUCCUGGAGGCAUUCUCAGUCCUGCUCCCUCCACCUCUGCACCUGAUGUCCUUGCCAAGCACAUUGGGAAGAAGCUCCAUCCUGGAGCACAACAGCAUACACCCCGAAGCAACACGUGUUGCCACGCAGUGGGGCACAUCACACUACGAAGAGGUGCUGCUCUGCAUCCCCAGCCUCCUGCAGCCCUCGGGGUCAUCCUGGGAAGCAGAAGGGACCCAGGUUGCUGCCUCUGCUCAUCCCCGGGGUCGUAUCUCCUACCUCUGUGAUCUCCCUCUGACCUUUGCUGUUACAGACAUGGAAGAUGAUCCUAUUGAUCUUAUGUGGAUUAUGAUGUUCUGCACAUUGCCCUGAAACCUGCUAAUUGUGCACGCAGCUAUUCAUAGUGUCUCAGAAUGGGAGUCAGAGAUUUCUGAUGGUGAGAGAGAUUACCUGCAGACGUGUCCAUGGAGCUGAAGGGCAUCGUUCGGGCACAAGCGGGGGCUGGUUGUGGCACUUCUGCAUUUUCCGUUAAGUGACAGUAUGAAACAUUUCAAGGUGGACAUUUUUUGUCCAGUUCAGAUGGAGCAGGCCUCCCAGAGAAGCUAUAGAUGCCCCAUCCCUGGAGAUGUUCAGGGCCAGGUUGGAUGGGGCCCUGGGCAGCAUGAGCUUGUAGGGGCAACCGGCCCAUGGCAGGGGAGUUGGGACUGAAUGGACUUUGAGGUCCCUUCCAACCCAAACCAUGCUAUGAUUCUAUGGAUCUAUUAUUCUAUGACUCUUUGAGCAGUGGAGUUCAAUGGGGAGAUAACUGAUUGGAGUCAGUGUGCAUACUGCAGUCCUGGUCAAAUUGGUUAUAAAGUGUUAGUACAACUUGACUGACAAUCUCUGCUAGCUCCUAUCUGCUUUUUUUUUUAAAUGUAGGCACUAAACCAACAAGCUAAAGGCUCAUCUUUUGCUGAACAAUGCAUUUGUUCUGCUACACUUGCUCCUUGUAUGUUCAGUGUAAGCUCUGUGUGCAUCCUUUCCCUUCCCAGUGAAAGGAACUCGGUGUUAGUUGUAUUCAGCAACUGAAAGCUGGAGUAAAGAGCAAUCUUACCUUUUUUUAUUAUUAUUAUUAUUAUUUUUAUUAUUAUUUUUUGAGCUAUUGCUACACAAAUUCUGCCUCUUUUCUCUGUGGCCCCGGAUGCCUCCGAGUUAUUCGUUCUUUUCCUGGUUCCUUUACCGACUUUUCUCUUGAUGAAAGGAGAAUCACUGGACUGAUUUAGGCCAUCCUUGAACCCUGCAGUGCCAAUAAACAUGGCUGCAGCUGCAUCAAUCCAUUGUCCUGAGCCCAAACUGCUGCUGCAGCUGUAGUGCCUUGCAGAAUAAGAUAUUGCCUCAUCACAGAUGCAGCCCACUGACUCCCUCAGUGAAAAGAGGGAUGUAUUUUUUCCAUGCUUUGGGUUAAGUGUUCGCUUGCAACAGCCGGGAGCACUCAUUCAGAAUAUUUUAAGAGCAUCUUUCAUGCUGUCUGAAACACCUGACGGUUCACAAUUACUCCCUAAAGUGGGAGUAAUUGACUGCAAGAUUAUUCUGUACCUCCUGAAAGAAAAGCAAAAUGGCUGUGAAUGUGACAGGGACUCACAUCUACUCCGUGAUGUUCAUUGAGUCUUUUGGUGUAAGUAGCCCAUCCCAUGCAGGCGGCACAAGGCAGUGCUUCAGCACUGGAAUCAUGAGCUGGAAGAAAAGAAUCAAGGUCUUUGGAGACUGGAAGCCUUGGAAAUCUGUAAGAGCACGGCAUUUGCCUUCAGGCAGUGACUCCUGGAGAUGGAUCUUGACAGGGAAAAGCUCCUGUGAGAGUACGAGAGGAGUUCCCAUGAACUGCAAAGGCUGGCAGGUCCUGCCUGAUGGAUGCAGUGGUUGUAGGCUGCACCCACUCUAUGAUGCGAGACCUUAUGGAUGGUAUGCAGUCAUCUGGGAUCUUUCUAGUUCCUGGAAGAUAGAUUCCAGAGCCCCAGCAGUAUGUUAGACCAUGUCUCUAUCUUCAGGAUAUUCAGACCAGCUUCUGAUAUACCUAGAAGCUAUUUUACAAGACUGCUUUUUUUUCCCAGUCAGCUGCCUCUUGCCCCUAAAUCAUCUCUGAGAGUGACGUUCAAUCAGCCAAGGCUCAUAAAGGAUUACAAAACCUUGCUGAAAGACAGAACUCCUUGUAAAAUCAAGAAGGUGUGUAAAAAGAAAAUAGGUGAAUGUAGUGAGAAAAUCAAAAGAGGGGUGUCUCAGCCGAGAGGAAAAAAUCUUGUUUGUAGAAGUGUAUGCUUAACAUAGAAGGAGAGGCAUUCAUUGAUGAGGGUGGACAAAGAGAGAAGAGGGGAUACUUGAUGCUCAGAGAAGGUAAAUCACAAGCUGAUCAGCUAAAUGCUUUCUUCACCCAAUAUGCCAUUAGCCUGAGCAACCCAAAGCCAAGUGUCACUGAGGGUAGAAGUGAUGCUGAAAUCCAAAGUUGGCUUUGAAGAAUCUAUGGCAGUGGAUAAUCCCCAUGUUUUUAAGCAAAUGUACAAAAAACUCGCUAGUUUUUGAAAGGAAUCUGAGUUGUGAUUUAACCUCUGGUUUGGUGCAGAUUACCUAGUAGCUGUCUCAGGCAGG
ensembl:lncRNA